UACGUAGGGCGCAAGCGUUGUCCGGAAUUAUUGGGCGUAAAGAGCUCGUAGGCGGCCUGUUGCGUCCGCUGUGAAAUCCCGGGGCUUAACCCCGGGCGUGCAGUGGAUACGGGCAGGCUGGAGGCAGGCAGGGGAGAACGGAAUUCCCGGUGUAGCGGUGAAAUGCGCAGAUAUCGGGAGGAACACCGGUGGCGAAGGCGGGUCUCUGGGCUGAUACUGACGCUGAGGAGCGAAAGCGUGGGGAGCGAACAGG
rnacentral:rRNA from 1 species